AGAGCGAACGCUGGCGGCAGGCUUAACACAUGCAAGUCGAGCGGGCGUAGCAAUACGUCAGCGGCAGACGGGUGAGUAACGCGUGGGAACGUACCUUUUGGUUCGGAACAACCCAGGGAAACUUGGGCUAAUACCGGAUAAGCCCUUACGGGGAAAGAUUUAUCGCCGAAAGAUCGGCCCGCGUCUGAUUAGCUAGUUGGUGAGGUAAUGGCUCACCAAGGCGACGAUCAGUAGCUGGUCUGAGAGGAUGAUCAGCCACAUUGGGACUGAGACACGGCCCAAACUCCUACGGGAGGCAGCAGUGGGGAAUAUUGGACAAUGGGCGCAAGCCUGAUCCAGCCAUGCCGCGUGAGUGAUGAAGGCCCUAGGGUUGUAAAGCUCUUUUGUGCGGGAAGAUAAUGACGGUACCGCAAGAAUAACGCCCGGCUAACUUCGUGCCAGCAGCCGC
rnacentral:rRNA from 1 species